AAAUAUCAAAAGAAGUAAGUUUUCCAAAAUGCAGUGUUCUUUUAAUUAAUAAUGCAAUUUGUCUUUUCUUGUUGAAAAGGAAGAAGUACAUUUUAUCUCUGUGUGAAUGACAGCCUCCAGGAAGCUGUAGGAAAUCCGAAGACACAAUUCUGCCAAAGCAGUCCCAUGCAAACCAAGACGUGGAGGCAGAGCAUUUGCAGGAUGCAGCCCGCAGGCAGUGGCCGCGAGCAGAAGUGGAGGCUGGAAGACCUGCAGCGUGGCCUGACUGAACAGAUGCUGGGGAGUGCGAACGAGCGGUACAGCACUGCGAGGAAAAGGCAUGAGGCAAUAGCCAACGUCAGAUAUGGAUGGGCUACCAAUAAUAUACAUCGUGGUAGCCGUACGUCCAAAUUGCCAUUCCACUAAUUCAUGCUUCUACCGACAGUUCUACUCCCAGACGUAGGGCCUGUGGUGUGAAUGCAGAAUUUUCUAAUUUUGUUUAUUCCAAGGAUUCCCAAAUUUAUUUUGUGGCCCACUGGUAGUCCACAGGGCCAUGGCAAACAGUCUGCAGUUCAUUCACAGAGCCGUGUCAAAUAAUACUCCACUUCUGUCAAUUAAAAGGUCACAGAGAAAGGUGUACAACCUUACACUAGUAACUUCAGUCUGUACUAAAUUUUGAGGAUUGGUGGUGAUCUGUAGAGCCAAAUAUUUUGGAACUAUUGACUUAAUCCUGCUUCUCUUUUAAGCAAACUUUACUCACUGGCAGGGCUGUAGAAUUUCUCAUUUAUUAUUAUAUCAGUCUAUACUUGUUGCAUAUUAAUCUCUUUUGUAGGACCUGAACAAGCAACUUAACUUGUUAAUCUUAAG